rnacentral:rRNA from 1 species
GUUAUAUUGAAAAAAAGCGSAAAGCCCUUCCACGUCUCGACAUCUUCUGUUACCCCCAGAGAUAUGGGGUUUYCCUUUGGGGGACGGAGUGACAGGUGGUGCAUGGUUGUCGUCAGCUCGUGUCGUGAGAUGUUGGGUUAAGUCCCGCAACGAGCGCAACCCUUGUUCUUAGUUGCCAGCAUUUAGUUGGGCACUYUAAGGAGACUGCCGGUGACAAACCGGAGGAAGGUGGGGAUGACGUCAAAUCAUCAUGCCCCUUAUGACCUGGGCUACACACGUGCUACAAUGGAUGGUACAAAGGGCAGCGAAGCCGCGAGGUGAAGCAAAUCCCAUAAAACCAUUCUCAGUUCGGAUUGCAGGCUGCAACUCGCCUACAUGAAGCCGGAAUCGCUAGUAAUCGCGGAUCAGCAUGCCGCGGUGAAUACGUUCCCGGGCCUUGUACACACCGCCCGUCACACCACGAGAGUUGGUAACACCCGAAGUCGGUG